rnacentral:lncRNA from 1 species
AAAAUUAAAAUUAAAAUAAAAAGUCCCAACUUUAACAGUCCAUUUACAGCCCAAAUUUCAAAACUCAUUAACCCCAAAUUAUAGUAGCCUAGUACAAAACCCAACACCCAAUAAAAGCCCAAAAACUAAAAUCCCAAAACUAGCCCAAAUGACCCAAAAUUUCUAUUCCAAAAACUGAAACCCUAGCCAAACAGCACUACAGCUUCCACGAACGUCUCCUCGGGCCACAAGCAACCACCAGUGGCCUUCGCAACAGCCUCCAGCCAGCCGAUUUCAAAGCAGGCUCAUAGGGCCCAAAUGGUGAAGCUUCUGGAAGUCUUCGCAUUAUCGCCCACGAGCAGUUUCUCCAUGCACAGUUGUACCUGCAACGAACUAACAACCACAGCAGCAACCAGUAGAUAACAACAAUACAACAAAAAAAUAAAGAUUUUUUAUUUUAUUUAUUUUUUCCAGAAUAUUCUUGAUGUAUUUUGGCUAUAAAAAGCCGUUGUAAACACUGAAAUCGGGAUUACAAAAUAAAAAAAAAGAGAGGAAAAAGCAAUGAAAAACUAAGGUAAUUUGAUAUUGCAUUUUCCAGUGUUUCAAUUCAUUUUUCUUUUUUCAUUUCUCUACAAAAUCCCUUCGCAUAAAAGAGAAAAAAGGAAAAUGAGAGAUUUACCUUACGAGUGCUAAGAGGUUCCGUCUGUUCCGUUGAAAUCGGAGCAAAGAAGGGAUUUCAUGGCCGAAACCCGCAUCCCUCGAGGUUGGGAUAUGCUAAAUCACCGUUGACAAUGGUGGAUGAGUGUUUAAAACAGGGGAUUAGGUUUAGGUUAAGGAAGAACCAAAUGGAUGCAAGGGUUUAGGUCUGGCCGAAUGUAUAAGGCCUUAGGUUUUGUUUUAUUCUGAUUUGUUUUGUUAGUUUUAGGUUUUUGUACCUUGUUUUGUGCAAGACAUGAAACAGCGUCGUGUAUAGGGAGGGUAGAUCCGCGCGCAAGCCCGAUCCACAGGCUGGAUCCGCGCCUUGGCCUUUCGGAUGGUCAAAUUGCGCGACUAACCCUUCUUCUUCACGCAGACCUUCAAAUUGAUCCUUAUUUAUGCUUUAUUUCUUUUUAAUUCUGUCCUAGAAUUUACAUGUUUUUGCAAUGCAGCCCGCACCUGAACGUUAUUAUUUGGGAUCUGGAAUAUUUUCAAUUUUGAACCCUAGACAUUCGCGCAUAUUGUGCUUUAGUCAUUAUUUCUAUUUCAAUUGUUUUUUUAUUUUGUAAAUUAUCUCUUCUAUUUUAAUUCUGAUUUAAUUGAGUUUUCUAUUUGUAUAAUUUAUUGUUUUAAAAUUCAUUUAAUAUUUUUAUACAUGUGUUGAGUUUUUUAAUAGUUUUACUUUGUUUUUAUUUAUGUAAUUAUUUUGAAGUUUUUUUAUAUAUUAUAUUAUUUUAACAUUUUGCAUAAUAUUUAGUUUAAAUUUUUUUUAUUAUCUGUACAUAUAUUAUUUUGAUUAAGUUUUCUUUUACAUUGUAUAAUUCAUUAUUAUUAUAAAAGUUCACUUAACAUACAUUUUUAAUCCUUGAUUAUUUAUUUUUAUAUUUCUAGUUACUUUAAUAAUUUUACUUCGUUUUUUAAAGUUAUUAUUAAGUUUGUUUAUCUCAUAUUAUUUCGUAUAAUAUUUUGUAUAAAUGUUCUUAUAUUACGUAUAUAAUUUAUGAUAAAGUUAAUUCAAUCUUGUAAUUUAUAUUUUAAUUCCAUGAUAUUUUAUAUAAUUUCUACUUAUAUUUCCUUUUAAAUUUAUUAUAUACAUAAUUUAUUCUUUAAAAGAAAUAUAUAUCAUUAUUUCUUUGUUAGUAAAUAUUCUUUCAUGUACACAUAAUUUUAUUAUAUGUUGGUCUGUUCAUCUUUCAUGAAUCUGUUCAUUCCUUAUUUUUAUUGUAUCUUCAUUAUAUACUGUUUACAUCGAUUUUUUUGUAUAUUAUCAUCUUAAAAUAGAUAUGUAUUGUUUUUAAAUAUUUUUGUAUAUUAUUAGCUCCAAAUUACUUCUUUCACAAUAUUUAUUUUCAUAUUCAUUCACAUAUUCUUAGUUUUAUUUUACACAUGCGCAUCCUUUUAAAUCCAAUCAUGUGUUGAUUCAUUUUCUAAGUUUUCAUAUAUUUAAUAGUUUACAAAUUAUUUCCAAAUUGUUUUCUGUACUAUGUGUCACUUUAGUUUUCAUGUUAUUUCCUGUAUUUUUGUUUUAUAUUGAUUAUUAGCCUUUUGCACUAUUAUUUAGAUCCUGUUAGUUUGUUCUUUUGUUUACUUGUAUAAUAUUUUCGUAUAGUAAUCCAUGUUUGUAACUUUGAUUUUUUCUAUAUUGUUGCAUCGUGAUUCAAAUUUCAAUAUUUUGGUUGAUAUUAGUUGUUUCACUGUUAUUUUAAAACAAAUAAAAGCAUUUUGAGCCAAUUCUCAGUUUUCUUUAUCAUUCAAAAAUUCAGAAAUAAGACAAUAUUCAAUAUUUGGGAAAUUCGGAAAAUGGUACUCAAUCGUACUGGGUAUGAUUUUUCGGUGAACUAAAUAUUUGAAUAACCUUUUUUAGUGUACAAUUUUUCAAAUGUCAAAAAUCAAUUGUCUUUAAAGGUAUAAAGGAUCGUAUCCAAUUGUACUGGGUAUGAUACUGCAUAUCUUUGAAACGAGAGAUUUGUGACUACUAAUUUAAACUAUUUCAAACAUUUUAAAGAAUCAUGCUUUAAAAGAUCUUUCUUCUUAAAAUCUUCGAUAUAAGGAUAGCAUCGAAUCAAUCUGGUACCAAUUUUUGGGCAUAGUGGGGGUGCUAACCCUUCCUCAUACGUAACCGACUCCCGAACCCGUUUUUGAAUUUAUGUAGACCAAAAUUGAUUUAAAAUGUCUUAUUAGGUGAUCCAAUCACACUAAAUAAAAAGAUUGUUGGCGACUCCACAUUUUUUUUGUUUCCAAAAGUCGAUCCCCAUUGCUUUCAAAAUAAAAAGGGUUUCGACAGCUUGGCGACUCCACUAGGGAUUGAACAAAGAGAGUCAGUCCAUAAAAUUGAUUGUUUGUUAUCUUUUUAUCAAAGAAUUGAAAAUUAUGAUUCUUUUAAAUUGCAUUUGUUUUCAUGAUUGCUGUGGUUCGAGUUUUGUAGAAUAAUAUUGCAUUCAUUACAUGACUGUUGUGGUCACACCUUUAAGUGGGAGUAAGAAACUAUGCUUUCGUGAGGUUUACACCUCCGCAUGGGCUAGCGGAUUGCUUUCGGAAUACAUUCGUACCUAUGAUUUCGUGAGAUUUUCAUCUCCGCAUGGUCAUAGGGAAAUGUAUUCCCCUGAAUCGAACUCAAUUCAUAUGAGCAUAUAAUGGGUGAGAAUUGAGGAAUCUAUUGGUUCAGGUACCCUUUCUCUAGAACUGAACCACAUAUAGUGAACCUUGAGAAUCCACCUUACGUAGAACCUUGCCCAAAUUUAGUGGUCACCUGAAUAGGUACUUUAUUUGAUAUUUAUUUCACUUGUACUAACAUGUUUUGUUUAUAAUUGCAUUGCACUACAUUAUCAUAGAAAGGAGGUGUUGAUUCACGUUUAAUUGCUAAAUAGAAUAGCUUGUGAUAAGAAAACGAAUUUCCUGAUGAAGUGGAUUAUAAUACGGUUGUCUAAAUUGACAGAAGAAGGCUGACAGUUCGUGGAGAAAAACAAGUCCUUACCUAAAGAUUCAAGCUGAUAAAGAUUGUUCGAGAGCCGUCACAUCUCAAUUUUCUUAAUGGAGUUAAUCAACGUCAUGAGGAUAAUAAGUCGUAGCCUGGAUCAAGUAGAGAAGAGCUAAUGGAGGCAUUUAUUAGAGGCUUGCGAGAUUUGGAUUUCAUGAAGAAAAGGGAUCAUUGUCUUCGCCUGGAACAUGAAAACAAGGCCAUAUAUGUAAUCCAUUUUAUGUAAAGGGAUUUGUUUUCUAGAAAAGUUGUUCUAAUGGAAUUAAAUUGAAUAUCAACACUUCUCUUUCUUUUGU